ACAACCGCGGUACUAGGUACCCAUUUAUUUAAUAUUUUUACAUUAUCUUACCUAUUUUUGGAUUUCUCUGCCGACGUCCUCAAAGAACGGACCCCGAGCAGAGCGUCUUCAGUCGCUUCGGCGUGAAAAUGCUCACGGUACCAGCAAGCUUAGUUUAUACUAAGUCCGGUGAAUCCCCGUCACGAGCUGACGAGGAUUCAACCCAUUCGUUGAAAAAAAAAAAAUCCGGUCCGCCCCGGCAACGCGAGGCUCGAAGUUCACUAACUUCGCUGAAGUUCGAGUCCUAAUGACCGCCCUAGGGCUUGGUCGAAUUCUGGACUAGGCUCGAAAAGACUCUCCAAGCCCAAAUCCCUUGGGCAUAAGCGUUGCUAUACCUCUGGUCGGAGGACCAAGCAAUGGAGCUCGGCAAGCCGAACCUAAACCCGAACCCUGUGGCGGAUGGAGUUGAGACCAUAGAGCCCAUAUCCUCGGAACCUAAAAUGGAUCCGAGCAGAGAAACUUCCAGAUGG
rnacentral:lncRNA from 1 species